CGAACCAUAUUAAUGGUUCAAUCCAGUUUUUAAAAACCACUUUAGCAAAAAGUGGUUAAUCUGUUUAAUCAAUUCAAUUCGGUUUAAAACCAAUUCAGAACUGGUUCAUAAUUUUAAACCAGUUUAAUUUAUUUAAACCAGUUUAAAACCAAUUUUUUAAAAAAUUAGAUUAAUUUUUUCACCAAAUUCCAAACUGGUUUUUUUAUAUAUUUAAAAAAACUGUUUCUUUUUUGUUUUUAUAAUAAAAUUGAAUUUAAAAAUUGAAUUCAAAUCUGGAUUUUUUAAAAAUUGUUUCUUUUUUGUUUUUAAAAAAAUUGAAUUCAUAUUCAUCACAGCGAAUGCCACAGCCGACAACUUUUUCUGCUAUGCACUUAUAUCAUAUCAGAACAUUUGACUUCACAUUUAAAAACACUACAUAAACUUGUGAUUACAAAAAGAAUCAAAAAUAAAAAGGUGUUAUUGUAUCAGUUUUAGUAUAUACUCCGUAUUAGAAAUCUUGGUACGUAUUUGGAUUCAUAAGUCUUAAUAUAGAAACAUUGAUCUUGAUAUAUUUAGAAUUUUUCAAUUAGAAUUGACAUUGAUUAUUUAAUUUUAUUUAACAUUUAAUAAUCAUUUAUUAAACUAUAUAUAUAAUGUGAAAUUGAUUUUGAUAUAUAUAAGCAUUUAAUAGAAGGUAAAAUAUAUAGAAACAGUUAUAUAUAAACAUUUAAUAGAAGGUAAAAUAUAUAGAAACAGUUAUGAAUCAUUUUGAAAUCGAUUCAAAACAAAUAGAAGGUGAAAUUGAAAUUGAUGUUGAGUUUGAAUUGGAAAGAAGAUGAUUUAGGGUUCAUAUUUCAUAUUUGGGGAAGAACACGUAAUGUGAAAAUGAAAAUGUUAUCAUAAUAGUAACUGACUAAAAAAUAUUAAAAGAUUAUAAUUAAAAUAUUUAUCAUUUUAAUAUAAUGAUUUAUUAAGUUUAUUGAAUUUGAGAAAUAAUAGUAUUUAUAUUUUAGAUAAAAUUGUGGAAAGAGUUUAUA
rnacentral:lncRNA from 1 species